rnacentral:rRNA from 1 species
GAUGAACGCUGGCGGCGUGCCUAAUACAUGCAAGUCGAGCGAAGCGGGGACGGGUGAGUAACACGUGGAUAACCUCCUAUAAGACUGGGAUAACUUCGGGAAACCGGAGCUAAACCGGAUACUGAGAGAAGGAUCCGCGCUGCAUUAGCUAGUUGUAAAGGUAACGGCUGACAAAGGCAACGAUGCAUAGCCGACCUGAUAUGGGGAUCGGCCACACGGGACCUGAGAACAGGUCCAGACGCCUACGGAAGGCAGCAGUAGGGAAUCUUCCGCAAUGGGCGAAAGCCUGACGGAGCCACGCCGCGUGAGUGAUGAAGGUCUUCGGAUCGUAAAACUCUGUUAUUAGGGAAGCGGUACCUAAUCAGAAAGCCACGGCUAACUACGUGCCAGCAGCCGCGGUAAUAC